UGGGGAAUAUUGCACAAUGGGCGCAAGCCUGAUGCAGCCAUGCCGCGUGUGUGAAGAAGGCCUUCGGGUUGUAAAGCACUUUCAGCGAGGAGGAAGGUGGUGAGCUUAAUACGCUCAUCAAUUGACGUUACUCGCAGAAGAAGCACCGGCUAACUCCGUGCCAGCAGCCGCGGUAAUACGGAGGGUGCAAGCGUUAAUCGGAAUUACUGGGCGUAAAGCGCACGCAGGCGGUUUGUUAAGUCAGAUGUGAAAUCCCCGGGCUCAACCUGGGAACUGCAUUUGAAACUGGCAAGCUAGAGUCUCGUAGAGGGGGGUAGAAUUCCAGGUGUAGCGGUGAAAUGCGUAGAGAUCUGGAGGAAUACCGGUGGCGAAGGCGGCCCCCUGGACGAAGACUGACGCUCAGGUGCGAAAGCGUGGGGCAGCAAACAGGAUUAGAUACCCUGGUAGUCCACGCUGUAAACGAUGUCGAUUUUGGAGGUUGUGCCCUUGAGGCGUGGCUUCCGGAGCUAACGCGUUAAAUCGACCGCCUGGGGAGUACGGCCGCAAGGUUAAAACUU
rnacentral:rRNA from 1 species